rnacentral:lncRNA from 1 species
GUCAGUCUCUGGAAUGCGAGUUGUUUAUAAAUGCAGCCGCUAAGGCCACUCACCACCUGGGCCCACAGUGUUGGUGAGCUGUAUGCAGGAGGUGCCAGCAGUCCGUGCUCUCACAGGGCGUUGGGCAGGACCACUUCCUGAAGUGACCCAGACUUCCAUUUAAUUGUUAUUUACUGCUGUGCAUUCCAAGUCUACAGCUUUCUUCCAAUCCAUCUUUCAA